UCCGUAGGUGAACCUGCGGAAGGAUCAUUAUUGAGUAAACCUGAUGUGGCUGUUAGCUGGCUUAGGCAUUUGUGCUCGUCCAUCAUCUUUAUAUCUCCACCUGUGCACAUUUUGUAGACUUGGAUAAUGGCUCUGUCAUUUACAAGACUAUGUUUUAUAUACCCAAAGCAUGUUUAAAGAAUGUCAUCAAUAGGAACUUGUUUCCUAUAUUAGAAACUAUACAACUUUCAGCAAUGGAUCUCUUGGCUCUCGCAUCGAUGAAGAACGCAGCGAAAUGCGUUAAGUAAUGUGAAUUGCAGAAUUCAGUGAAUCAUCGAAUCUUUGAACGCACCUUGCGCUCCUUGGUAUUCCGAGGAGCAUGCCUGUUUGAGUGUCAUUAAAUUCUCAACCUUUCCAUUAAUUUGGUUUGGCUUGGAUGUGGGGGUUGCAGGCUUCAUUUGACUAUGAGGUCAGCUCUCCUUAAAUGCAUUAGUGGAACUUUUGUUGACCAUCUAUUGGUGUGAUAUCUAUCUACACUGUGGAUGUGAAGCAGUGUUCAGCUUCUAACCGUCUAUUAUUGACUUUACUUGACCAUUUGACCUCAAAUCAGGUAGGACUACCCGCUGAACUUAAGCAUAUCAAUAAGCGGAGGA
rnacentral:rRNA from 1 species